UACGUAGGUGGCAAGCGUUGUCCGGAUUUACUGGGCGUAAAGGGCGCGUAGGCGGCUUUAUAAGUCAGGGGUGAAAGCCUGUGGCUCAACCACAGAAUUGCCUUCGAUACUGUAGAGCUUGAGACCGGAAGAGGUAAGUGGAACUGCGAGUGUAGAGGUGAAAUUCGUAGAUAUUCGCAAGAACACCAGUGGCGAAGGCGGCUUACUGGUCCGGUUCUGACGCUGAGGCGCGAAAGCGUGGGGAGCAAACAGG
rnacentral:rRNA from 1 species